UACAGAGGGUGCUAGCGUUGUUCGGAAUCAUUGGGCGUAAGAGCGUGUAGGCGGCCCGAUGAAGUCCGACUGUCGGAAAGUACCCAAGGGCUCAACCCGUGAAUGCCGGUGGAUACUGUCGGGCUCGAGUUCGGAAGAGGUGAGUGGAAUUCCUGGUGUAGCGGUGAAAUGACGCAGAUAUCAGGAGGAACACCAAUGGCGAAGGCAGCUCACUGGGACGACUACUGACGCUGAGACGCGAAAGCGUGGGGAGCAAACAGG
rnacentral:rRNA from 1 species